GACGAACGCUGGCGGCGUGCCUAAUACAUGCAAGUAGAACGCACAGUUUAUACCGUAGCUUGCUACACCAUAGACUGUGAGUUGCGAACGGGUGAGUAACGCGUAGGUAACCUGCCUGGUAGCGGGGGAUAACUAUUGGAAACGAUAGCUAAUACCGCAUAAUAUUAAUUAUUGCAUGAUAAUUAAUUGAAAGGUGCAAUUGCACCACUACCAGAUGGACCUGCGUUGUAUUAGCUAGUAGGUGAGGUAACGGCUCACCUAGGCGACGAUACAUAGCCGACCUGGAGGGGUGAUCGGCCACACUGGGACUGAGACACGGCCCAGACUCCUACGGGAGGCAGCAGUAGGGAAUCUUCGGCAAUGGACGAAAGUCUGACCGAGCAACGCCGCGUGAGUGAAGAAGGUUUUCGGAUCGUAAAGCUCUGUUGUAAGAGAAGAACGGGUGUGAGAGUGGAAAGUUCACACUGUGACGGUAGCUUACCAGAAAGGGACGGCUAACUACGUG
rnacentral:rRNA from 1 species